rnacentral:tRNA from 1 species
UUUUAAUAGCUUAUAUUUAGAGCAUGAUAUUGAAGAUAUCAAGGAGGAUUUUUUCUUUAAAAUAU